UACGUAGGGAGCGAGCGUUGUCCGGAUUCAUUGGGCGUAAAGAGCUCGUAGGCGGCUUGGCAAGUCGGGUGUGAAAACUCCAGGCUCAACCUGGAGACGCCACCCGAUACCGCCAUGGCUAGAGUCCGGUAGGGGACCACGGAAUUCCUGGUGUAGCGGUGAAAUGCGCAGAUAUCAGGAGGAACACCGGUGGCGAAGGCGGUGGUCUGGGCCGGAACUGACGCUGAGGAGCGAAAGCGUGGGGAGCGAACAGG
rnacentral:rRNA from 1 species